CCUCAUGAAAAUACCACCCUGCCUGUAAUGAUGAUUUUAGAACCAGGUGAUGGAAGUCGCACACUAAAAUAUCUGGAGGGCACCAGGUUGGGGAAGAGUGGCUUAUAACAAUGCAAAAGACGACUAAGGGAGAGGAUGCCAAGGAAAGAGGAUCACUUCAGGGAAAGAAGAACUAGAAAGAACGAAGGUAUCAAGGGUACUAUGUGAACAAAUGCAAUAACUCAUGCAUAAGUUAUUUACUAAUAUCCUUUUUUUAUACUUUGAGUUAGCUUUGAGGACAGAGAUAACAUGCAUCACCCAAAAGAAGAAGGGUUCUGUUAACUACUACGUCAAUCUGUCUAAUUGGUAGCAUAAUUAACCAUAUUCUGUAACAGCUCCAUAUUGUAGGCAUAAUUUAAUGGAAUUUAAAAGUCAUGUUUAUUUUGCAAACCCAGAUAUAACAAACUGCACGACUCAGAUCUACUUUGCUUAUUAAAUGAAUUUAAUUAAAAUCAAACUUUCAUCAACAGCUCAGAGGAAAAUAUUUAAUCUUCGGCACUCUUGCAGUGAAACAAGGAUCUCCAGAAGAACUCAAAUAGCAGCAGUAUUUGAAAAGGAGAUUAUAUAUGUAGUAAAUAUGUUCAAACCGUGUAAGUGUCUUCUAUUUGGAGUUGUGUCAAAGAGGGAGAAAAAAACCAGGUGCUGAUUAUACAAAUAAGAUAGUAUAUCAUAUUGGCAGAUUCCCCAAAGGUUUGCCCUUGGAACACUCCAAAUGAGGAAAUGAUAGAUGUAUUAUCUUUCAGGAUGUCUGGAAUUGGAUAUCUGAAGGGUCUCAGACAGGGACAAUCUUGCUCCGGCUAAAGCAGGGCACUCCAAGGACAUUAACCAAUAAUGAGCACUCACACUUUACAUUGUGGGUGCCCUUUGCGGGAUCGCGUUUCGUGCUACAGUUCCCAGGGAUCUUACUAGCAAACAGGGACUGGCUUGCCUCUCAGGGUUAAUUUUUGGAGGGUCACACCCAGCCUCAGUAAUCAAGUUUCUUGCUGGGAGGUGGGGCCAGCCCCAUUUAUAAAUAGGGGGUGGAGCCGACAAUAGCCAGGGAGUCGGAAUCGGAAAUUCACCCUCUCUACCUUCCCUCUGGUUAAUGUUUUCUUGUUUGCAGGUUAACUUUUUAUUCCUGUUUAGCGGGCGCUGCUACAGUCUUUUACUGGUUGCGAUUGAAGGACCAGGAAGAAAUUUUUCUGCAUUGGCAGGUUUUGUCUUCCCCGUAGCAACUCGUUACAACUUUGGUGGUUAUGGCCUUGGACGUAACCCUUUAGUCUUUUCUUCCCUAUAUGGGGAGGGGGGGCGUGAAGUGGUGACUCACCCCCCUGCGGUGGCGAUUCCAGGGUCCCCUCUUAAAAGGGGUUAUAUAUAAUGGGUGUCACUGGCUGUGACGAUUAACAUAUGAGAGAGUGCUGGAGGUGAAAUUGUUAAACAGGUUGCCCAGUUAGGACCCAGGGGGGUGGAGUCAGAGGGACUAUAAAAUCAGCUCUGGGGGAGUUCGUUGAGGAGUUUGUUGGGAGUUGGGCGGUUGGUUGGAGUGGGAAUGAAUUGGGCUAGAGUUGUGGGUAGGUUGAGAUAAUGUAACGAAAUAGGCUGAGUCAGGAACAGUUAGGGACUAGGCAGACAAGUAAAUAUCUGAGAGGUGGUUUAGUGAGUGACAGCAGGUAGCGGGAGUUAUAGGUCUGGAUAGGCACCCCAUGAAUGUAAUUGACUGAUACUGUUUAUGAAACCACACGCUUGUUAAACUGCAAUAAAUAAACAAAAGUUUAUGUUUCAAUUUAACCCUGACUGGACUCAGUAUUGUCCCAGGUAGGGCCUGGGUGGUGGCAGCGAGAAAUAAAGUGGUGGCACAGGGAUCAAUAGAUGGUGAAACGUCCAGGGACCCUGUGUGAUAGCCUCACUAGCCAUACACUAAAAGGUUGUCAGUGAGGGGGCUAGGGCUUUCUCCGCCUGGUCAUGCAAUGCCUCCUUAUGCUACUUGAGGGAUAUUUACAGUGCAGCCAAAUCAACAGUGCAUGUUUGCUAGAUAGGCACAUAAUAGGAGCUGAAGCUCACAGAGUUUUCCUGAACAAAGCUGCCGACAGGAGUGCCAUCUCGCCCCAGGAUUGUGGGCGCCCCCUGCUGCAAUGUGGAUGUACGGCACACCCUUUUUCGUGGGGAGGGGCGUGGGCUUGGAGGCAGAGAUACUCCGCUUCUGUCUUAUCCCCCCCCCCAAAAAAAGGGUGCGUUGCUGGCUGGCUGUGGAGGACAGAGCUGAACUGCCUCUCUCACUGUGGCUGCAACAGUUCAGCUCUGUUCCCCACAGACAGAGAGACACUCUUUUCUGUGGGGAGGGGCUCAGACUCAGAGGCAGAGAGACUCUGUCUCUGUGUCCGAGUCCCCCCUGCCCAGAAAGGGUGCCUCGCCACCUUCAACAUAUGUGGUGGAAGUGUAAGGAAGUAAAAGAAUUUUGGGAAAUGAUAUAUAAUGAGGUGAAAAAAAUGUUUAAAAUAACCUUUUCUAACCCUGCCCCCCAGCCUUCCUUUUAGGAAUUCUAGGUGCCCAAGAGUAGAAAAGACUAUUUAUGUAAGCGACCACGGCUGUGCGGAUGUUAUUGGCCAGGGAUGGAAAGAAGAUAAGUCCCUACCAGAGAGGAACGGCAGAUCAAGUUGAUGGAUUAUGCUGAAAUGGCUAAAAUGGCCAGAAGAAUCAGAAAUCAGGAAGACCAAAAUUUUAACAAGGAACAGAGGAAAUUUAUAAUUUAUCUUAAAAACUAUUGUAAGCAGUUGAAAUCAUUAGUAGGAUUGGAAUUACACUUGUAGUUUAAUGGUGAAUUGUGGACACAAUGGAGAGGUAAAAGAUUUGGAUGCAGGAGGAAAUGAUUAACAAUAGGACCCACAAAGGGGAGGAGGGAAGAGGGAAUCUUGUUUCUAUGUUGUAUGUUGGAUAUGUGACUGUAAAAUUUUAAUCUGAAAAACCGAAUAAAUCAUUUUUUAAAAAAGUGUGCCUCGCUGGCUG
rnacentral:lncRNA from 1 species